rnacentral:lncRNA from 1 species
ACACAGAGCGUUGGAUCUGGCCUCAUUAGUUGAUGUGGUAGAUCCAACAAUCCUCAGGCUAGGGUGCACGAUGGAAAUUAGCAAAAAUGAAACACGAGAUCUAAUUCAAAAUGGACCAAUCAUAACAUUUCAAAUUACCAACGUGUAUGGCCAAACUCAGAUGACCUGAAACACUCUGGUCAUCUUCCCCAAUGAUCCCUCACCGGAGUUUCAUCGUUUGGUAAAUUCAGAACACGAGACUAACACCAAUGUGAUCGCCUCAUCGUCACGAAUUUGACCUCAUGCUCAAAAUUCAUUUAUCUAAACUGAGCAUGGAGAAUUUCAAAGAAGUUCCAGAAGCAAGCAAGCCACAAAAAAUAAAAUUAAAUAUUGACCUCAUGCUCAAAAUUCAUUUAUCUAAACUGAGCAUGGAGAAUUUCAAAGAAGUUCCAGAAGCAAGCAAGCCACAAAAAAUAAAAUUAAAUGAUGAA